rnacentral:rRNA from 1 species
UACGGGGGGGGCAAGCGUUGUUCGGAAUUACUGGGCGUAAAGGGCUCGUAGGCGGCCAACUAAGUCGGACGUGAAAUCCCCAGGCUCAACCUGGGAACUGCGUCUGAUACUGGAUGGCUUGAAUCCGGGAGAGGGAUGCAGAAUUCCAGGUGUAGCGGUGAAAUGCGUAGAUAUUCGGAGGAACACCAGAAGCGAAGGCGGCCAACUGGCCCGAUACUGACGCUGAGGCGCGAAAGCGUGGGGAGCAAACAGG